rnacentral:rRNA from 1 species
GUCGGCCUACGGGAGGCAGCAGUGAGGAAUAUUGGUCAAUGGGCGGAAGCCUGAACCAGCCACGUCGCGUGAGGGAAUAAGGCACUACGGGUCGUAAACCUCUUUUGCCGGGGAGCAAGGGCCAGGACGCGUCCCGGCCCGGAGAGUACCCGGAGAAAAAGCAUCGGCUAACUCCGUGCCAGCAGCCGCGGUAAUACGGAGGAUGCGAGCGUUAUCCGGAUUUAUUGGGUUUAAAGGGUGCGUAGGCGGGCUUUUAGGUCAGCGGUAAAAAUUCGGGGCUCAACCCCGUCCGGCCGUUGAAACUG